GACGAACCGUGCGAACGUUAUUCGGAAUCACUGGGCGUAAAGGGCGCGUAGGCGGUCAGCACAAGUCAGUUGUGAAAUCUCCGGGCUUAACUCGGAAAGGUCAACUGAUACUGUGCGACUAGAGUGCAGAAGGGGCAACUGGAAUUCUCGGUGUAGCGGUGAAAUGCGUAGAUAUCGAGAGGAACACCUGCGGCGAAGGCGGGUUGCUGGGCUGACACUGACGCUGAUGCGCGAAAGCCAGGGGAGCGAACGGG
rnacentral:rRNA from 1 species